rnacentral:tRNA from 1 species
GGUCGCUUAGCUCAGUUGGUUAGAGCGUGGUGCUAAUAUUGGCAGUUCUCCCAGAGAACCUACAGUUGACGCCAAGGUCGCGAGUUCGACCCUCGUAGUGACCA